rnacentral:rRNA from 1 species
AUUGAACGCUGGCGGCAGGCUUAACACAUGCAAGUCGAGCGAGCCGCGGACGGGUGUGUUAUGUCUGGGAAUCUGCGUGAUGGAGGGGGACAACCACGGGAAACUGUAGCAAAUACCGUAUACCUUCAGAUGUGCCCAGAUGGGAUUGGCUAGUGGGUGGGGUAAUGGCUCACCUAGGCGCCGAUCUCUAGCUGGUCUGAGAGGAUGACCAGCCACACUGGAACUGAGACACGGUCCAGACUCCUACGGGAGGCAGCAGUGGGGAAUAUUGCACAAUGGGCGCAAGCCUGAUGCAGCCAUGCCGCGUGUGUGAAGAAGGCCUUCGGGUUGUAAAGCACUUUCAGCGGGGAGGCGUUACUCGCAGAAGAAGCACCGGCUAACUCCGUGCCAGCAGCCGCGGUAAUUC